rnacentral:rRNA from 1 species
AACGAACGCUGGCGGCAGGCCUAACACAUGCAAGUCGAGCGAGGCCUUCGGGCUUAGCGGCGGACGGGCGAGUAACGCGUGGGAACGUGCCCUUUGGUACGGAAUAGCCCCGGGAAACUGGGAGUAAUACCGUAUGUGGUCGAGAGACGAAAGAUUUAUCGCCAAAGGAUCGGCCCGCGUUGGAUUAGGUAGUUGGUGGGGUAAUGGCCUACCAAGCCGACGAUCCAUAGCUGGUUUGAGAGGAUGAUCAGCCACACUGGGACUGAGACACGGCCCAGACUCCUACGGGAGGCAGCAGUGGGGAAUCUUAGACAAUGGGGGAAACCCUGAUCUAGCCAUGCCGCGUGAUCGAUGAAGGCCUUAGGGUUGUAAAGAUCUUUCAGUUGGGAAGAUAAUGACGGUACCAACAGAAGAAGCCCCGGCUAACUCCGUGCCAGCCGCCGCGGUAAAAC